rnacentral:rRNA from 1 species
UACGUAGGAUCCAAGCGUUGUCCGGAUUUACUGGGUGUAAAGGGUGCGCAGGCGGGCUGGUGAGUCUGGGGUGAAAUCUCGCCGCUUAACGGCGAAACUGCCUUAGAUACUAUCAGUCUUGAAUCAGCGAGAGGUUCGUGGAAUUCCGAGUGUAGCAGUGAAAUGUGUAGAUAUUCGGAAGAACACCAGUGGCGAAGGCAGCGAACUGGCGCUCGAUUGACGCUCAGGCACGAAAGCAUGGGGAUCAAACAGG